rnacentral:rRNA from 1 species
UACGGAGGGUGCAAGCGUUAUCCGGAUUUACUGGGCGUAAAGAGCGUGUAGGCGGCCAAACAGGUCCGUUGUGAAAACUGGAGGCUCAACCUCCAGACGUCGACGGAAACCGUGUGGCUAGAGUCCGGAAGAGGAGAGUGGAAUUCCUGGUGUAGCGGUGAAAUGCGCAGAUAUCAGGAAGAACACCAAUGGCGAAGGCAGCUCUCUGGGACGGUACUGACGCUGAGACGCGAAAGCGUGGGGAGCGAACAGG